GACGUAGGGCGCGAGCGUUGUCCGGAUUUAUUGGGCGUAAAGAGCUCGUAGGCGGCUUGUCGCGUCGAAUGUGAAAACCCACGGCUCAACUGUGGGCUUGCAUUCGAUACGGGCAGGCGUAGAGUUCGGUAGGGGAGACUGGAAUUCCUGGUGUAGCGGUGAAAUGCGCAGAUAUCAGGAGGAACACCGGUGGCGAAGGCGGGU
rnacentral:rRNA from 1 species